UACGAAGGGGGCUAGCGUUGCUCGGAAUUACUGGGCGUAAAGCGCACGUAGGCGGUCUUUUAAGUCGGGGGUGAAAUCCUGGAGCUCAACUCCAGAACUGCCUUCGAUACUGGAAGACUUGAGUCCGGGAGAGGUGAGUGGAACUGCGAGUGUAGAGGUGAAAUUCGUAGAUAUUCGCAAGAACACCAGUGGCGAAGGCGGCUCACUGGCCCGGUACUGACGCUGAGGUGCGAAAGCGUGGGUAGCAAACAGG
rnacentral:rRNA from 1 species